GGGAGAGGCUCCCGGGUAGGUAAGAUACUGCUGCUCUCCCCGCUCUCCAUCCGCCGCGAGCGAGCUCGGGUGCAGGUCAGGGGCCAGGGCCUCUCUGGGAGGGCCGUGCUGUGCUUCUUUACGCAGAGGGGAGCGCCCCGGGGACUUGGGGCCCGGGUGGAUCCCUUCCUGCUCCUUUGGCAAUGAGCAGGCUUCGCGGGACUGGGUGCGGGGGAGGUGUCUGUGUGGCUGGCACUUUCUCCCGCGCUCAGCAACGAGGGUUGGAAGCGGAUUUGGGGAAGGGGACCGACAAGGUUUCUGUCCUGGGCUCCGGCUGCGCUCCCCUCCCCUUUGUGGACUGGAGCGGCCUAGCCUCCUCUGUCCAGCUCCCCGGUAAACACCGGCUCGAGAGAAGUCGAAGAACAGAUCCCAGAUCGGCCGGUUCCCGGCCCCGCCUUCGCGGACGCGCCUCCUCCUCGCCGGGCGCGUUUCCGCUCGGCCUGCGCGCUCCCCACAGGCUUGUGCUCUUAGGGUCUAGGACUCUGGGUCCACCCAGCCACUGGGAUUAGCCGAGCACAGGGACUAAUCCCGGAUGAGCCACGGUGUAAACCCGGAUUGACUGGAGCACGGAGGGGGGUGCGGGGACGGUCGCCGGCGCCCCUUCAUCCAUUCCCAGACGCGUGACAUGACAGAGUCUCACUCCAGUUCUCUGCUACUUUUGAAAUGACCUGUAGCUAGCUGCGUGUUUGCUGAGGGGCGAGGAUUGAUGAGAGCAAGUGCUAGGGGGCGUGGCGAAGACACAGCUGCAUCCGGCACCCGCAAGUGUGGCACGUUGGUAGCGGGGUGGGGACAGAGAAGCAGGGUUCUUGGCAGCCUUGAGUUCACAGGGUUAGGUCAGCUCCCUGGCUGAGUCUGAAACCCAACCAGUCACACAGUACCCCAGCUACAGACUCACAAGCCCUCCCUCUACCAGUGGCCAAGGCGAUGCCCCCAGUCUUUAGAUCUCCGUGAAUCAGGAGGCGGGUUAAUCAGUGUAGAAGGCCAGUAUCCUUCCCGCCCUGAUUUGAUUAGACAGUGGAGGAUGGGGAGCCCCUCCAGUUAAGGCCAAGCCCAUUAAAAAAGGUCAAAGGUCAAGGGAGUGGAAGGAAAUAGGGAGUGGCCAGUUGGGUACCGCAAUCCUGACUCGGGUUCACUUACUAAUUCUACAAACAUUUCCCCAGCCUCUCCCUCCCUCUUACCGGUCCAGCACCAGAUACUGGGGCACCACAAGAAUGACACAUGAUCUCUACGGGAAAUGAAGACAGGUAAACAAUGACCACAUCUUGUGUUCAUCCCUGACUUGAGCCUGAAAUUCUGGCUCGGGAACCCCGAGGGUUGCUUCCUCCAGAGGCCAAAAGGCUUUCCUGAAGGGGUUAGGUAAAGGAUGAGUUUCACAGAGCACAUGACUGAAAACUCACAGGGGGAGGAGAGGAGGAUGGAUGGUCUGUCCCUAUAGGCACAGGACGUCUAAGUGUCCCGGAAAAGCAAGAGAGGUUGAGCAAAAUACAAGCCAGAUCUAGAAGGACCUGCUAGUCUGUCUAAGAACUGGGGGAGGAGAGGGCCAUCGAAGGAGUCCAUGCCUCUGAGAGAAAAGGUCAGAUUUACAUUUUUUAUAGAUUCUGUCUUCCUUCCUCCCUUCCCUGCCCAUUUCUCUGGGGAUGUCUGGGCUGCAGAAACACACACAGGCAGAAAGACGGGAAGAGGAAUCAGGUUUAUUUCAGGUUGGUUACCACAUGUCCUUCCAUCACACAUGGACUCAGUAACAGUGGAAACCUGGCUGUGCGACUCCUAGUGAUCUGCUUUGGGGCGGGUGACAGGCUCAGUUUCUUCACCUAUAAAGCAGGGAUGAUAAUAGGUGAUUAUAGGAUUUCAGUGAAGCCAAUCAUCGGCCUUUAUUUUGGAAGGCCCUGCGCCAGGUGCUGACGUUAGGGCGCUGAGUUACUCUCUCCCCUGGAACUUACAUUCCGGUGGAGAAGACAGACAACAAACAAACAAACAAAUGAGGUAAUUACAGAUUGUGUUUACGUGCUGGGGAAGAAACAGUGGGGCAGGAAGGAAGAUAAAUGGAGGUGGGGCAGGGGAAGAGGCGGCUUCACUCAUAAAUGGACGUGGAGCAGGGGAAGGGGCGGCUUCACUCAUAAAUGGACGUGGAGCAGGGGAAGGGGCGGCUUCACUCAUAAAUGGACGUGGAGCAGGGGAAGGAGCGGCUUCACUCAUAAAUGGAGGUGGGGCAGGGGAAGGGGCGGCUUCACUCAUAAAUGGACGUGGAGCAGGGGAAGGGGCGGCUUCACUCAUAAAUGGACGUGGAGCAGGGGAAGGGGCGGCUUCACUCAUAAAUGGACGUGGAGCAGGGGAAGGGGCGGCUUCACUCAGCACAGCCAGCAAUCUUCUUAGUUGUUACUGACAGAUUCUAAGCUUCCGCACUUUGGAAGAACAUCCGGGUGCUAAGGAUCAGGUGUGGGCAACGGCCUUCUUCUUGAAUCCCACUAAGAUGUCAAGCUUCGCCGGUGGUGGUGGUGGUGGUGGAGUUGGUGGUGCACUUCUUUAAUCCCAGCACUUGGGAGGCAGAGGCAGGCGGAUCUCUGUGAGUUCGAGGCCGGGCUGGUCCGACAGCCUCCAAAAACAAUACAGAGAACCCUGUCUCGUAAAAAACAAAAAACAACAAUAAAAAGAUGUCAAGCUUCCUGGGGGCAGGUACCUCGAGCUUUCUGGCAUCUGACUUUCAGGCUGAGUCCAGGGGGAAUGAGUAGAAGGGGACAGUGUCCCGUUGCUGACACCCUCCCCUGGCAUUCAUUAGAACGGUACUGGGGAGCUGCUCUCCAUCUGCCUCCCAGUUCUAAAGGGAAGCUGACCCUAGACCAGGCUUCUUCUUCCUCUCCGUAGGCUGCAGGGGCAGGUUCUGUCCCUCCAGAAUCUGAUGGUCUGCUUCCAGGACCUGACAGAAUUUAGUAUCUGACCUAGGGGAGGGUGUUCCCAAAGGAAAACAGUCAACAUUUAAAGGUUUAGGCCCUCCAGAGUGCCCCGCUUAGCACAGUCUCACUUCGGGGAGGUGACCUGGAUCCCCGUCCAAUUCCCUCUUGCAGAAUGCCUCCUACACACCGAUGCGUUUCCCACAGAGCCACCCGCCCCUCCUGCAAAGUGCAUUCAGCUCCUCUCACACACUCACCAUCCAGCUGCACACUUCGUCUCCAUGGCAACUGGGAGGCCUGGUCCAUGGAUGUUAGAAAUAAGUGCCAGAGGAAGAAGAGAGAAGGUGGGGGAAGAGAAUGGGAAGAGAAACAUCAGGAAAAAAAGGGAUUUCAAAAGAUGGCCUCGCUGGGAGACCCCUACCCUUGCUUUGUACCCGCUUGCCAGGAAGACAGUGGACUGGGGCUGAGGUGGGCAUGGAGAGAGGACCAGCAGCCAGGUGGUCACAGGCGGUGGUGCUCCUGGGCACUAAGAAAGGAGCAGGAGAACCGAGUGACAGUAUGGAGUGCUGGAGAGAGGAGGCCUGUGCUGUGUGAGCUCAGCCUGCUGCUGGACUGCCUGAUUGCCUUGGGCAAGUUGCUUAGCCUCUGUGAGUGUCAGUUUCCCCAGCUGGAGUGAGGAUAAUGAAGCUGAGAGCAGCAGGAGUUUGCGUGGCAUGGAAGCGGUGUUAAAUCAUGUUACCUAGGGCGGGAGAGAUGGCUCAGAAGUUCACAGCUCUUUCAGAGGACUUCAGUUCAGUUCCCAGUCCUUGGGGGACUCCAACACCCUCUUCUGGCCUCUGGGAGCACUGCACCCUUGUGUACGGAAAUAUGCAUAAGUAAAAAAAUUUUUUUGGCUUGGCCAUGACUUUUCUUGCCCAUGUAUUCAGGAUCUCUUUCGUUUUGUUUUCUGUGUAGUAUUGAAAAUUACACUCAGAGUCUUCGUGCAUCCACAAUAAAAUUUCAGUCAUUGAACAACA